GGGAGCCCAGCAGGGGGUUACGGGAAACUGAGGAAACUCCAGCCUCUAGCCUAGGGGGAGUCCCAUGAGGGACGUGGGUAGCCCCUACGACAACCGCACAGAAACGAUACCCUCCACUGGCGAAAUGAAGAUGAACACUGGUCUCAAUCUCGGUGACGAGAUGGGACGUGGGAGACGUCAUUGGAGGGUUGAAACGGCGGAUCUCCCCUUGAGCAAGUCGAGGAGGAGAUAGGUCAAGGUGACUCCUCAAAUACGCAAAGCCAAAUCCCCCAAUACAGAAGCUGGGUUAUUGCUGUGGCUCCC
rnacentral:RNase_P_RNA from 1 species